GUAAUCAACAGGAAAAGCAAAUAUCUGUCGUGGAGGAUUCACCAGUGGACAAUAAUAAAAGUAGUGAUGUAUCCUCCUCUUCUUCGUCAUCACCAUCAACAAUUUUAAUUCUAAGCGCUGCGGAGUGUGAUGAGGAGGAAAAGUCUGCUGUUUUAAAUGUGAAUUCAAAAAGUAGUUCCAAGACCUCAAGCACUUCAAAAUCUGCCUCUUCUUCGUCAUCACCACCAACAAUUUUAAUUCAAAGCGCUGCGGAGUGUGAUGAGGAGGAAAAGUCUGCUGUUUUAAAUGUGAAUUCAAAAAGUAGUUCCAAGACCUCAAGCACUUCAAAAUCUGCCUCUUCUUCGUCAUCACCACCAACAAUUUUAAUUCAAAGCGCUGCGGAGUGUGAUGAGGAGGAAAAGUCUGCUGUUUUAAAUGUGAAUUCAAAAAGUAGUUCCAAGACCUCAAGCACUUCAAAAUCUGCCUCUUCUUCGUCAUCACCACCAACAAUUUUAAUUCAAAGUGCCGCGGAGUGUGAUGAGGAGGAAAAGUCUGCUGUUUUAAAUGUGAAUUCAAAAAGUAGUUCCAAGACCUCAAGCACUUCAAAAUCUGUUGACAAGUCGAAAUCAUUCUCAUCUCAAAAUAAUGAGCUCAACUUUCCAUUCUUUGAUUCUGGUCUGCUUUCAUCCAGAAAUACUAAAAAGUCCAAACAUGUUCCAUCCAAG
rnacentral:lncRNA from 1 species